rnacentral:rRNA from 1 species
GCAACCGGGGCGGGGUGCCUAAUACAUGCAAGUCGAACGAACUCUGGUAUUGAUUGGUGCUUGCAUCAUGAUUUACAUUUGAGUGAGUGGCGAACUGGUGAGUAACACGUGGGAAACCUGCCCAGAAGCGGGGGAUAACACCUGGAAACAGAUGCUAAUACCGCAUAACAACUUGGACCGCAUGGUCCGAGUUUGAAAGAUGGCUUCGGCUAUCACUUUUGGAUGGUCCCGCGGCGUAUUAGCUAGAUGGUGGGGUAACGGCUCACCAUGGCAAUGAUACGUAGCCGACCUGAGAGGGUAAUCGGCCACAUUGGGACUGAGACACGGCCCAAACUCCUACGGGAGGCAGCAGUAGGGAAUCUUCCACAAUGGACGAAAGUCUGAUGGAGCAACGCCGCGUGAGUGAAGAAGGGUUUCGGCUCGUAAAACUCUGUUGUUAAAGAAGAACAUAUCUGAGAGUAACUGUUCAGGUAUUGACGGUAUUUAACCAGAAAGCCACGGCUAACUACGUGCCAGCAGCCGCGGUAAUACGUAGGUGGCAAGCGUUGUCCGGAUUUAUUGGGCGUAAAGCGAGCGCAGGCGGUUUUUUAAGUCUGAUGUGAAAGCCUUCGGCUCAACCGAAGAAGUGCAUCGGAAACUGGGAAACUUGAGUGCAGAAGAGGACAGUGGAACUCCAUGUGUAGCGGUGAAAUGCGUAGAUAUAUGGAAGAACACCAGUGGCGAAGGCGGCUGUCUGGUCUGUAACUGACGCUGAGGCUCGAAAGUAUGGGUAGCAAACAGGAUUAGAUACCCUGGUAGUCCAUACCGUAAACGAUGAAUGCUAAGUGUUGGAGGGUUUCCGCCCUUCAGUGCUGCAGCUAACGCAUUAAGCAUUCCGCCUGGGGAGUACGGCCGCAAGGCUGAAACUCAAAGGAAUUGACGGGGGCCCGCACAAGCGGUGGAGCAUGUGGUUUAAUUCGAAGCUACGCGAAGAACCUUACCAGGUCUUGACAUACUAUGCAAAUCUAAGAGAUUAGACGUUCCCUUCGGGGACAUGGAUACAGGUGGUGCAUGGUUGUCGUCAGCUCGUGUCGUGAGAUGUUGGGUUAAGUCCCGCAACGAGCGCAACCCUUAUUAUCAGUUGCCAGCAUUAAGUUGGGCACUCUGGUGAGACUGCCGGUGACAAACCGGAGGAAGGUGGGGAUGACGUCAAAUCAUCAUGCCCCUUAUGACCUGGGCUACACACGUGCUACAAUGGAUGGUACAACGAGUUGCGAACUCGCGAGAGUAAGCUAAUCUCUUAAAGCCAUUCUCAGUUCGGAUUGUAGGCUGCAACUCGCCUACAUGAAGUCGGAAUCGCUAGUAAUCGCGGAUCAGCAUGCCGCGGUGAAUACGUUCCCGGGCCUUGUACACACCGCCCGUCACACCAUGAGAGUUUGUAACACCCAAAGUCGGUGGGGUAACCUUUUAGGAACCAGCCGCCUAAGGUGGGACAGGGUUUGG